rnacentral:misc_RNA from 1 species
AGUGGCAUGCAAAUGACACGACGAGAGUCGUUCAGUUGGGACAAAAAUCGCUAGGUAUGGGCCAAGAUGAGGCAUUGCCAUCGAACCCAAUGCACAUUCCGCAUCCGAGAGCUCAAGCGAGCGUUCAUGGGCCAAAGCAACAACAAAUGCAUUUCGAGUUACGUGGGACACAAACGACGCUUCGAGGUUCACCGCGUCAAAAGCCCGUAACAAAACAGGCAAACGCUGAGUGAAUAAUACACAAUUUGGCAGCAUAAUUCCUUAUAGUAGGCAUGCAACACAGGAAACCAAAGAAAACGGGCGGGCAAGGCAAGGCGCUCUUGUACCAUCAAAUGAAGAGGAGCACACGGCCGGUCGUCAUAGCCAC